rnacentral:rRNA from 1 species
GUGGGGAAUCUUGCGCAAUGGGCGAAAGCCUGACGCAGCCAUGCCGCGUGGAUGAUGAAGGUCUUAGGAUUGUAAAAUCCUUUCACCGGUGAAGAUAAUGACUGUAGCCGGAGAAGAAGCCCCGGCUAACUUCGUGCCAGCAGCCGCGGUAAUACGAAGGGGGCUAGCGUUGCUCGGAUUUACUGGGCGUAAAGGGCGCGUAGGCGGACAUUUAAGUCAGGGGUGAAAUCCCGGGGCUCAACCUCGGAACUGCCUUUGAUACUGGGUGUCUUGAGUAGGAGAGAGGUGUGUGGAACUCCGAGUGUAGAGGUGAAAUUCGUAGAUAUUCGGAAGAACACCAGUGGCGAAGGCGACACACUGGCUCAUUACUGACGCUGAGGCGCGAAAGCGUGGGGAGCAAACAGGAUUAGAAACCCCAGUAGUCC